rnacentral:rRNA from 1 species
AACGCGUAUACAAUCUACCUUUUACAGGGGGAUAGCCUUUAGAAAUGAAGAAUAAUACCCCAUAGUAUUUAAAUUUCGCAUGUUAUUUAGAUUAAAGUUUCGGCGGUAAAAGAUGAGUAUGCGUUCUAUUAGCUAGAUGGUAAGGUAACGGCUUACCAUGGCAACGAUAGAUAGGGGCCCUGAGAGGGGGAUCCCCCACACUGGUACUGAGACACGGACCAGACUCCUACGGGAGGCAGCAGUGAGGAAUAUUGGACAAUGGGCGAGAGCCUGAUCCAGCCAUGUCGCGUGCAGGAAGACUGCCCUAUGGGUUGUAAACUGCUUUUAUACAGGAAGAAACCCACCUACGUGUAGGUGGCUGACGGUACUGUAAGAAUAAGGAUCGGCUAACUCCGUGCCAGCAGCCGCGGUAAUACGGAGGAUCCAAGCGUUAUCCGGAAUCAUUGGGUUUAAAGGGUCCGUAGGUGGAUAAUUAAGUCAGAGGUGAAAUCCUGCAGCUCAACUGUAGAAUUGCCUUUGAUACUGGUUAUCUUGAAUUAUUGUGAAGUGGUUAGAAUAUGUAGUGUAGCGGUGAAAUGCAUAGAUAUUACAUAGAAUACCAAUUGCGAAGGCAGAUCACUAACAAUAUAUUGACACUGAUGGACGAAAGCGUGGGGAGCGAACAGGAUUAGAUACCCUGGUAGUCCACGCCGUAAACGAUGGUCACUAGCUGUUCGGACUUCGGUCUGAGUGGCUAAGAGAAAUUGAUAAGUGACCCACCUGGGGAGUACGUUCGCAAGAAUGAAACUCAAAGGAAUUGACGGGGGCCCGCACAAGCGGUGGAGCAUGUGGUUUAAUUCGAUGAUACGCGAGGAACCUUACCAGGGCUUAAAUGUAAGUUGCAUUAGUUAGAGAUAGCUAUUUCUUCGGACCACUUACAAGGUGCUGCAUGGUUGUCGUCAGCUCGUGCCGUGAGGUGUCAGGUUAAGUCCUAUAACGAGCGCAACCCCUGUUGUUAGUUGCCAGCAUGUAAAGAUGGGAACUCUAACAAGACUGCCGGUGCAAACCGUGAGGAAGGUGGGGAUGACGUCAAAUCAUCACGGCCCUUACGUCCUGGGCUACACACGUGCUACAAUGGUAGGGACAGAGAGCAGCCACUUCGCGAGAAGGA